rnacentral:lncRNA from 1 species
CUGAUAUUCCUGUGAUCUUUCAGUUUUAACUAAGUUUGUCUAAAAUAUUGAUGGAUUGCUAGAUUAUACAGAACAAAGGAGAAACAUUUCGCGCAUCUCUUUUCUUUAGUCCUGGCUAGUUUAGUGUAGAAAACGUGCACAGAGUGAGUAAAUAUGCUCGACAACUUAAUUCGAUGCAUCUUCUGAGGCUCUAGGCCCCUUGCUUUGGGCUCGUCUGGGGUUCGAGGCUGAAGCUGUUUUAUGUUUUGACAACGAGUCAUUUUUACACUCCAGGAUACAUUUCUUGUUAUGUUCUUUUCUCCGUCCUGAUUACAUCUUCCUAUCCAAUGCCUGUUUACACUCACCUUUCCCUAGUGUUGAGAGUAUGAAUUUCUUGCAUUCCAUGAUGUAAAUUUUAUUUUUUUUUAAUGACGGGGAACCUAUAACCAUUACCCUUCGGGUACGCACUAGGUAAACUCUCGGACUGACGCAAUAGUUUGCAAACUACGUCAGUUAGGUAAAUCGCACUAGAUAAAUCCUAUGUGACAAGCUCGACAAAGAAAGUGUUGGUAGAGAGAAUCGAAUUUGUGAUUAAAGACUUUCGCGCUCACCUACUCCAUCAAUUGGACCACUCAUGAAGUAUCUAUUUGCUGUUGUUUAAAGAUGAUAAAUAUUUUAUGCCUCAAACACAUGGCCUUGGGGUUAAAAAAUAAAAUAAAAACUGGAGAAAAGCCCCUUUCCUGUGCGACUAGAUCUUGUUAUGAGAAUCCUUGAUUUCGUAGGUUUUGCCAACCAUAUGCAUUGCAUUUACUUUCUUGAUCGGGAGCAAACUAUUUUAUAUUGGUGUUUAUUCUUUUUAAAAUUAUUUUCUCAUGAUGUCAGAAGAUUUGAACGAAUGAAAAUAAAUGAUGAG